rnacentral:rRNA from 1 species
AUUGGGUUUAAAGGGAGCGUAGGUGGACUGGUAAGUCAGUUGUGAAAGUUUGCGGCUCAACCGUAAAAUUGCAGUUGAUACUGUCAGUCUUGAGUACAGUAGAGGUGGGCGGAAUUCGUGGUGUAGCGGUGAAAUGCUUAGAUAUCACGAAGAACUCCGAUUGCGAAGGCAGCUCACUGGACUGCAACUGACACUGAUGCUCGAAAGUGUGGGUAUCAAACAGGAUUAGAUACCCUGGUAGUCCACACAGUAAACGAUGAAUACUCGCUGUUUGCGAUAUACAGUAAGCGGCCAAGCGAAAGCAUUAAGUAUUCCACCUGGGGAGUACGCCGGCAACGGUGAAACUCAAAGGAAUUGACGGGGGCCCGCACAAGCGGAGGAACAUGUGGUUUAAUUCGAUGAUACGCGAGGAACCUUACCCGGGCUUAAAUUGCAGUGGAAUGAUGUGGAAACAUGUCAGUGAGCAAUCACCGCUGUGAAGGUGCUGCAUGGUUGUCGUCAGCUCGUGCCGUGAGGUGUCGGCUUAAGUGCCAUAACGAGCGCAACCCUUAUCUUCAGUUACUAACAGGUCAUGCUGAGGACUCUGGAGAGACUGCCGUCGUAAGAUGUGAGGAAGGUGGGGAUGACGUCAAAUCAGCACGGCCCUUACGUCCGGGGCUACACACGUGUUACAAUGGGGGGUACAGAAGGCAGCUAGCGGGUGACCGUAUGCUAAUCCCAAAAUCCUCUCUCAGUUCGGAUCGAAGUCUGCAACCCGACUUCGUGAAGCUGGAUUCGCUAGUAAUCGCGCAUCAGCCACGGCGCGGUGAAUACGUUCCCGGGCCUUGUACACACCGCCCGUCAAGCCGUGGGAGCCGGGGGUACCUGAAGUACGUAACCGCAAGGGAUCGUCCUAGGGUAAAACUGUUGACUGGGGCUAA